GAAGCAAGAGAGCAAGAAGCAAGAGAGAGAGAAAAGCAAGAGAGCGAGAAAACGAAACCCCGUCCCUCUUAAGGAGCAUUCUCCUUCGCCUCGGACGUGUCACUCCCUGAUUGGCUGCAGCCCAUCGGCCGAGUUGACGUCACGGGGAAGGCAGAGCACAAGUAGUCAUAAGAUACCCUUGGCACAUGCGCAGAUUAUUUGUUUACCACUUAGAACACAGCUGUCAGCGCCAUCUUGUAACGGCGAAUGUGGGCGCGGCUCCCAACAUAUCAUCAGACGAUAUCACCAGAUAUCGUCACUCGAGUUGGCUGACAGCAAUGCACAGCAUACACAGAACACUGGUGUGUGCUAUGUGUACCUAUACCUGUACCUAACUUGAUUGAGAUGUGCCUGUGGUUAGGAGUUGAUGAACUCCUCUGGCUAUAUAGAUGGAAUGAUAUAGAAGUACUCAACUCUAGGUAACAAGAAAUGAACAGUGUGGCUGUUUUCCUGUGUUGCUUACUUAUAAAGAGAGAAAUUGCCAGACCUUCCCUUAAAGUUCUAUUUAGGGAAGUGUUUAAGUUUAGCUGUCCAAUUCUUGAAAAAUCAUCUUUUUAGCAGUUUGUUUUCAAGGUGUGUUCAUAAGCAUUUUUCCUUGCUGCUUUAGUUAUUCCACUGGCUGAUUACUAUAUCAUCGCUGGAGUCAUCUAUCAGGCGCCAGACUUGGGAUCAGUUAUAAACUCCAGAGUGGUAUGUGUCUUCCCUCACCUGCCUGCCUGCCUUCCCUCCCUCCCUUCCGUCCUUGACGUAGUAGCCCUGUACUGUUGAACACUGGCCUUGAACCCCUGGUUCUCCUGCUUCCAUCUUCUAAGUACUGAGAUUGCACACUUAGCUUUUUUCACAUUCUUUGAACAUUAAAGCAGACAUCUAACUGAGAUACCGUGCUCUGAAGCAAGUAGAAGGUCUUUCACUUUGUGCCAGCUGGUAUAAAAUGCUGACUGUUGGAGGGUUUUGAGUUCUGUUUCUGUGGAUCAACUUAGUGCUAAUAUAUUGAGUCUGCCUGAAUAACUACAGUCUACAUUAGUAACAUGCAUAAAACACCUGGAACAAGAACUACACCUGUUACACCUGUACUAUUUUGUUGUCCAUUUUAUUGUUCCCUAAACAAUACAUUGUAAUAGCUGUCUAUAUAGUAUUUAUAUUAUGUUAUGCUAUGCCUUAUAAGUAAUUUAGAAAUGAUUUAACAAUAUAUAAAAUUUAUAGGUUACACUGAAAUGCUCAUUAUUUUAUAUAAGGCAUGUGAAUAUGGAACUAAUCCCUUGCAGAUACUGAAGGGUGACUACAACUGUCAAAUGGUAAUUCUGAAAAUAGGAAAUUACUGUCUUUGAAUAGGUAAUAUUUGUAUUUACUUAGGACACAUUAGUUGACCUCUUGAGAGAUUUAGAAUGUGUUGGGGUUUUUUUGUUUUACAAGCUUACUGCAGUGCAUGGAAUUCAGUCAGCUUUUGAUGAAGCUAUGUCAUACUGUCGAUACCAUCCUUCCAAAGGAUAUUGGUGGCACUUUAAAGAUCACGAAGAACAAGGUAAGUGGAGUGCCCAGGCCCUCCCAAAACAGUUUGGUUCUCUGGGGAUGAAGCUCGAGGGCUUGUAACGUUACCUAGAUAGGUUUUAAUUUUUCAGAAGGUGAUGGCAUUGCGGCCCUUGUGUUCAUGUCAUAGGUGCAGGAAUAGUAACAUCACAACAGUUAUUUUGUCCGUGGGCUCUUAUGUUCACAAGCGUUGUAAAGACGAUUGAAGGUUUUAAAUGGUUUAAAAUGCAAAGAGGAGGGACAGUGAUGAUGGAUGAGCAAAGGUUAUUUUUUAUUUCUUGAGUUAUCUUGGAUUUUUGGAACUCUUCAUCCCGCUAGUCUUCAAAGUCAGGGAGAUGAGAUACUAUUCUUGGUGGCCUUUCUUCAGAUGGCCAGGCCAUGUCCUUCUCCCUCCCCACUUCCUAUUUUCACCCCCUCCUGUUGUGUGUUGUGAUAAGGUUUAAACCCAGGACUUUACUAGGUAAGAACUUUACUCCCAAGUUCUAUCCCUAGUUGAUGGGGUUACUUACUGGUUGUCUAUCCUCUCCCCUGACCCCUCACCCAAGGUGUGUGUGUGUGUUGUUUGUACCACAGCACAUUUGUGGGUGUCAGAGGAUAACUCCAUAGUUGGUUGUUCUCUCCACCUUAAAUGUGUGUUCUGGAGAGUAAACGCAGAUCUUCAGGCUUGCAUAGCUAGUAUCUUUGUCCACUGUACUUUUUCAUUGGCCCUAGGUCCCUUUCUGAUUCUUUGAUAUUACCACCUGUUAUGAUGCUGGGUCCUUUAGUUUCCAUGGCUGGUAAUCUGUGCUGUUCUUUUACCAUGUAUCACCAAAAACCUAUCUCCGGAAAUGUGUCUAUAUCAGUGUAUUUUCUUUUUUGAGAAUACUGAAGUGUGGAAAAGAUAGCCUUUAUGUAGGAUUCAGAGCCAUUCAGUGGCCCUUCAGAUAUGGUUAUUUUGAUUGUUAAUAUUGGGGUACAGGCAGUAACGUUUAAUGUAGGAAAGUGGGGGCUGGGGAGAUGGCUCAGCAGUUAAGAGCACCCGACUGCUCUUCCAGAGGUCCUGAGUUCAGUUUCCAGCAACCACUUGGUAGCUCAUAACCCUCUGUAAUGGGAUCUGACGCCCUCUUCUGGUGUCUGAAGACAGCUAUAGUGUACUCAAAUAAAUCAAAUCUU
rnacentral:lncRNA from 1 species